UCCCUGGUGGCUCAGAGGGUAAAGCAUCUGCCUGCAAUGCGGGAGACCUGGGUUCGAUACCCAAGUCAGGAAG
rnacentral:tRNA from 1 species